UGGGUUUCUUUCAUAACUGCAGUACAAAUCAUUUGUUCACGUCUAUUAUUCUUAUUGUGUAGCCAAAGUAAUUCUCAUCUGUAGAUUCAGAAACGAUUGAAAAUCAGAAGUUUUAUUCGUACGUCCCUAAAACUAACACAAUACUUUUUCGUUUGGUGAUAUGUGUAACUGUUCACACCAAUGUAAAUCAUUGUUUUAUGAUACUGACCAUAGUGACAUUUUUUUUUUAUCAUUUUUAAAGAUUUAUUUGUA
rnacentral:lncRNA from 1 species